UGGAUUAAAUCACUACGGUCUAUGAUUAAAUCGUUAAGGGACGUGCGUAAACUCUCCGAACUCUUUUCUCUUAUGCAUCUGGAUCUCACAGUGUAACGCCAAGUCUCAAGUCUAGUGAAGUGUGUUAAUAACAUAACAUUGAAAAGUUAAUCAAACAGGCCACGCGUGCUGGCGCCGUGCAAGCGUCUCGUUCAGUUACAGACCUGCGGUCCUUUAAAACGUUAAACGAUAGUUUUACUGUUAGCAUCUGUUUUACCGUACGCUAUUAUGCAGCUACCAGUAGGUGGUUUGCAAACUCAAAUUCAAGUUGAUUUGUUGGUAGCUACCUACAGCCAAUUAUGACCAAUAUUUGUCAACUGUCAUUUUUUUUAAACGUGAUUCAACUAUUGCAGAUACAGAAAUCCAUUGCAGGGGAUGGAUGUAGUGCAUUCGCUGGAGUUGGCUGAACAAUGUCCUGAAUCCAGGUGGCGGAGGAUAAGAGGCGGAAGGCAGAAGGUGAAGUGGCCGACAGAAGGAGCUGGAGCCUUCUUACGUGGUUCGAUAGCCGGACGACCGGGAACACAGGAUCUCUCAGCAGCGCGGAGAGCUUGGGCAGAGCCAGCCAGAGCCCCAGGAAGGACACAUCCAUCUCCUGCGUCUGCGGAGGGACCC